AUGAACGCUGGCGGCGUGCCUAAUACCUGCAAGUCGAGCGAACAGACGAGGAGCUUGCUCCUCUGACGUUAGCGGCGGACGGGUGAGUAACACGUGGAUAACCUACCUAUAAGACUGGGAUAACUUCGGGAAACCGGAGCUAAUACCGGAUAAUAUAUUGAACCGCAUGGUUCAAUAGUGAAAGACGGUUUUACUGUCACUUAUAGAUGGAUCCGCGCCGCAUUAGCUAGUUGGUAAGGUAACGGCUUACCAAGGCAACGAUGCGUAGCCGACCUGAGAGGGUGAUCGGCCACACUGGAACUGAGACACGGUCCAGACUCCUACGGGAGGCAGCAGUAGGGAAUCUUCCGCAAUGGGCGAAAGCCUGACGGAGCAACGCCGCGUGAGUGAUGAAGGUCUUCGGAUCGUAAAACUCUGUUAUUAGGGAAGAACAAAUGUGUAAGUAACUAUGCACGUCUUGACGGUACCUAAUCAGAAAGCCACGGCUAACUACGUG
rnacentral:rRNA from 1 species